rfam:Oryctes borbonicus contig24689, whole genome shotgun sequence.
GCUGCGAUGUCCGAGUGGUUAAGGAGUUUGACUCGAAAUCAAAUGGGCAUUGCCCGCACAGGUUCGAAUCCUGUUCGCAGCG